CUGCGGUUUCUUCCGGCGCGCUGGCGAGAGGGCCGUCCCCUUCCUAACAUUCCAACCUCUUAUUGGUGAUAAUGGGCGAGGGCUCUGAUCUGGCUGCUUCCAGCAGAUAUAAGGGAGGUGCCAUAGUAUGUGGCGGUGUGAGGUUGGAAUGCGCGAACAGCGCCAGACCGCCGUCUGAUGAAAUGCCACCUGGGAAACUUCAUGAAUUCGUUUCCCUACGAAACGGAGAAAACAAGCAAGGAAUGAUUAAAGUUGAGCUGAUGUCAAUGUGUGCUGGGCACCCUGUGACCCAAGUCUCAAAGUGAAACAUAUCCAAGUUCAAAUAAUCCAACCAGCUUCCAGCUUGUUUCUGCAGUGGAGAAAUAGUGCAUUUUGACACCAGCUCUUCAUUUGAUAAUCACUUCCAGAAUUCCCCUUAUCAAAGACGCAGAAGAUAGCACUUGACAUUCUGACCUGCCCUUAAGUGUUAACUUGAACAAUAAAUGGCUCAAAUUCUAGAUCCUCUUGAACUCCAGUAAGGAGGAUGCUCACCUUGAAUUAUGGCCAAGAGAAUGACAAUCACGAAGAAGAAGAAGGUGAUGUCAAAGAUGAUUCGAUAGAUCUCAUAUUCGUCGCCUGCUGGGUCUUCGAUUUCAUCGCCGAUACCCCCUCCGGCACGUACCCCGACGUACAUGUGGAACAUGUAGCACUGGAAAAGACAGACACAGUUACUUCCUGGAGACGCUGCCCAUCUGCACAUUGAACAAAGUUGAGGCUCUCUCUGUAGUUGCUAAUCCUCACUCUGGAAACUGACCAUCUCUGCCUUCUACAUUGCCUCUUUUUGUUUCAGUGUUUGUGAUUAUGAUGCAAACACGUGGCUCUUACACUCUGCUGUCCUUUGAACAAAACUCGACACGACACUCUGCCUCGCACCUUCCGUCACACUUUGCAGGGGAUGAAAAAUACCUCACUAGCAUCUGGCAUAAGGUAAUCCCAUUAAGAUCACAUUAAGGCCCACAAAGCUAUAUUUAAUCACACUGCUCUUUUUUUUUCUUUCUCUUUGAUCAGAACAGACAUAGGAGAGAGGAAGGAAAACCUCAAUAUUUAAUAAGACGGAAUCUCAGAAAUUAAGCUAGGAAAACACCGGACCCAAUAACGCCAUCCCCUCAUCCGUCAUGUUUGGAAUACGAUGCUGAAAUGUUUCUACUCUAAUGUGUACAAGAAAGAAGACAGAGGGGAGAAGCAAGGAGGAAAUAACAGCUCAUUGUUAAGAAUCUGAAACAUUAAAGCAACCAAUUAGAAGGAGAGCUCCAAGUGCCCACUGCAGAAGAGGGCAGGGUUUCUCAGCCUCAGUGCCGUUGACAUUUAGGGCCAGCUAAUUCUUUGGAUAGGAUCUGUCUCGUGCAUUGUAGGAUGUUUUAGAAGGAUCCCUGGCCUCUACCCACUCAAUGCCAAUAGCACCUCAUUGUAGAUAACCAAAAACGUCUGCAGACAUUGCCAAGCGUCCCCGGGAGGGCAAAAUCACAACAGUUGAGAGCCACUGGCUUCAAGCGUCAGUGUUUUAUCUGUUUUCAGGAUAAGGGCAGACUCUCCAGGUCGGGGCCUCAGAUUCAGGGACGCUUCAUCCCUCUCCACUGAUGGGCUACUGCUCCCGAGUACCACCCUGCACUCUAUCCACGCCUGUCAGAUAAACAACUCCCUAUUCUAGUUCUUGGUUUGCAUUUCCUUCCCAUCUUAAACAAUUAUUUCCCUUUCUUAUGCCAUUCCUUUUCACCCUCAGGUAACAAGCCUUCCUCCAUGAGGCCUUCUUAGACUGUUCCAGACACUCCGACUUACCCAACUGAUGUCAUCCAUGAGUACAAAACACAUUUACCCACCAUCUGCCUUAACGAAAGGGGCAAAGGCUUUGACACAGUGUCUUCACUUGGGGAGACACCACAAUCCCCUGGUCAUCUUCUACAUUUCUGGCCACCCUUUCUCAGCCUCCUUGGCCAGUUCUUCCUAGAGGAAUGUCCCCACUUUCACAGUUAAGUACCAUCUCUGUGCCAAUGACGUACAAUUUUUUUCUGUUUACACCUUGGGUCUCUUUCCUGAAUUCCAAACCUGUACCUACCACUUACCUAAUUUUGAUGCUUUGUGAUCUGUCUCACUGCACUGAACUGGCUUCAUUACAAGAAGAAUGACUUUGGUUACUGCUCUAUUAUCAGGGCCUAAAAUAAUGUCCAGCACAUGAGAGGAACUUAUACAUCACUGGGGCGGAGGGGGGGCGGUGAAUGAAGAGUGAAAAGUCAUGACUGAUCAGUGUUCUCAUGGAGACUUCACUGUCUCAGCCCAUGAACCUCAAAUUCUCAGAUGACCCCAAAGAGCACAAAGGACAGGCAACAGGUUGACCCCAAAAUGCUCAUAGUUCAACAGCUAAUAUAGUGAUAGAUGCAGCACACAGAAAGUGUCCUGGAGCAGAUGCCUGGAAUCUAAUGAUCAGAACCGAAUAACGACUGGGUCACUCAGGAAGGAGGUUUGUCAGUCUGGCACACAGUGAACGAAGAGGAUCAGAGGGCGGCUCUGUCACUGCCCAACCAAGAACCGUCUGGGGCUCAGGUAAGGGGUCUCUCUCACAGAUAAGCCAGAAAAGUCAUUUUUGUAGUGUUCAUUUAUUUUUGAGAGAGACAGAGUGUGAGCGGGGGAGGGACAGAGAAAGAGGGAGACGCCGACUGUGAAGCAGGCUCCAGGCUCCAAGCUGUCAGCACAGAGGCCGACGCGGGGCUCAAACUCACAGAUCGCGAGAUCAUGACCUGAGCAGAAGUUGGACGCUUAACUGACAGAGCCACCCAGGUGCCCAUAGAGUUUUUCUCUAGGGAAGAGAAUGCGUUCUCCUGCGGCAUGAACUCUUAAUGAGUAGGAUGUUGGUGUUCUGACUCAUACAUGUGACUCUUAGGAGCCUGGUUAAUGUGAGUCUGUCCUCAAGAGGAUGUUUAGUUUCCAGACAUGCACAGUUGAAGAUAGGACCAUGGAAUGAGGCUAAAUUACCAAAGCAAAUGUCUCCUACUUCUCAGGUCUCCUGUCAGCCAUCUAGCAACAUCCACGUCUCUCUGCUCACCUUCAUUCUGUGAAAGCUCUGAUGCUGACAAAAGGGCUCCCACCAUAUUUCAAUAAUAGACUCUGGCCAUGCUGAAAAGAUAGGCAGUCUUAUGCAUUUGAUUGUUUAGGCUUAGUAAGAUACCAGAUUUUAAAAGUAUAAAAUUCCAGGUUCACCUGUGGGAUUUUGAUACUGAUUUUCCCAACCUUAAUCUAUACUACCUGGUUAUCCCCAGAUAUAGCAGGUGGGUGGCUAGAAUAUGCGGUAGGGUGGUGAACAUCCACCUACGUAGGGCUGUCAGGCUUUUAGUUGUCAGAUGAUCAUUCUGCUCCUGAAAAUGGAAAAUCUCUCAUUCACCUUCCUUUUCACAGGAGCAGCUUAAACCUGAACAUCAGAGUUGGAGAAUGGAAAGCAGUAAUUCUGGGACACAAACCGAUACACUUUGUUCAGAGAAUCUGAGUCAUGAGGAAGGAAGGUGCCUGGUGCUACCAACACUGGGAAUACGCAGUCAGUUAUUCUCCAAAUUUAAUAUUCUAUGGUUUCUCCCCUACCCACUCAUCUCCCGAGUGGAUUCAUUCCAGAGUUAAUCACUAUUUAUGACAGCUUUAGGAAAUACUGAGGAGGGACAGUUUCUGGCGGAGUAGUGAAGAUCUUUAUGAGAUCUUUAUCCUGACCCCCCCCCCCAAAAUAGGGGGAGAAAUAAAAGUGGAAAGAGAAAGAGAGACUGGCAGAGAUUACUUGUUGGGAGGGUAGGGUAAAAUAAGUAAUUUAGAACAAUACCCUGAGCUGGGGAUUGUACUUCCCUAGGAGUAACUCAUUCUCUCAACCACCUGGUAAGUUUUUUCCAAAAAUCACAACAGGUCUGGACACCUUCCCUGCAGUUUCUGACUUGGGAUAUGAGGGUGGCCUCAUUGAGCUGCGGUUCAUAAAGGGAUGCCCUGGAAACUACCAGAAGCAAUGAAGGCACUGGAAACUCGGAUGUUGCCGAGAAAACAGGGCAUGAGUGAAGAAAACCCAUCUCAAGCAAACAAUCCUCGACUUCACCCUGUGAAGACUAAUUGUUAGAGACGGAUGUAAACGAAAGAUUCUCUUUUGAGAGAUACACGCAAGAUAUUAAGCGUGACCACUUCCUACGCCGUACUUCUGUCUUGCUAGCUGCUGGGUUUUGCUAAGCCUUGACUUUUAACGAGCACUACUACAAGUGAGCAGUUACAUUUUAAAUGUUGUUGGCUUGUUCAAACCUUGCUGCACAAGUAUUAAUAAGAGGCAAAUUAAAAGGGAUUUUGAGACCAACUAUUGUAAGGUAAAUCUAGGUGAUGUGGCCUCUGAUGUGAUCGUUUUUAAGAACAAUCAGCUGAAUGUGCAAAGCUACACAGACUCCUGUGUGCCUGAGAUCCGCCUGGCAGCAGUAUGGGAGCUGAGAUGUUGUUUGUGGCUUGGAAUUGAGUUUUCUCUUUUGCAAGAAGACACAUCUAAGGUACAUCCUCAUGAUGCCCCCAACCUCACCCCACCCAAAGGCAAGGUACAAAGCUUACCGUUAUGUGUAGAGAUAGAAACACCCAGAACAGACCUGGUUGUAGGUAGUCUCACUGGUAGGGGCAGAAAUCCCUUAAACUGGACAAAAUCCAGGCUCUAGCUCAGUCCUGAGGCCAUGGUCGAAACAUCAAGAAGCCUUAUUUCCUCACCCUAAAGUGAGGCAAACUUCUCUACCUCUUCCCUACACAUCCCAUGCAACUGGGUCAUGCCAACCAGGUAAAGGCAGUUUGUUGUCUUCCUAACUCACUUGUUGUUCAAACCAUGCCUGGAUUCCUCUCAUAAGUUCGUUGGGAAAAUUUACAAAAGCAAUGGAAACUCAUACCAAGAGUGAUGUUCGAAAUGUAGUCAUCCAAGGAUACUAUCAGGAUAAUUGAAUAGGGUCAAAUAUGACUCAUGACAUUAGAAGGAGACACCUGGAUGUUUCAGGGGUCUUACUGUGGUAGGAGGGGGGCAAGUGAGGCCCUGCCAAUCCCAAUGCCAACUCAAGAGCACUACCCGAAGUCAUCCUGACUUUCCAGCAAUCUUCAGCGAUUCAGCGGGCACCACACCCUCUGGCAGUGAAUCACCUUGCUAAACUUUCUGACUCAACCAAGGUGGACUUUGAGAUUUAGAACCAUGGGGGAGGGGGUGCUUCUGGAAGAGAAAUGAAUCUCCCUGGAGUCACAGCUGUCUGCUGUUAGUAAUGACUGACUCCCUUUUGUGCCUUGUUGACUCCUCCAGCUGUCUGCUCCCCUCCCUGCCUCUAGCCAGCUGCUACCCCAAGUCUUGAAGUCACCGGGUAGAGAGGCAAGGUGGGUAUUAAAGGCACCUCUCACAAGAGGAGAUGAAGGAUCCUUACUGGCGGUAAAGUGUCACGUUUAGUGACUCUGGGGGACGUCACUACCAGUGACGAAUCCCUUACUGUGUAAGUUUCUUCUCUCCCUAAUCUGUAGUCCUACUCCCUGUAGGAACCCUUGUUAACAGUGUCCCAUGUAUUCUUCCAGAAACACCCUGUACAUAUUCUAGUGUAUCUAAUAUGUACAUUCUAGCAUGUGUAUGUGUGCACACAAUCAGGAUCUUAUCAUAACACUGUUCAAGAUCUUGCCCCCCCUUCCCCACUGAAAUGCAAUCUGUAUGUCUUUCUAUAUCAGCACGUGCAGAUUUGUCUUAUUUUUAAACAACCUACCUUUCCAUGAUAUGGAUUUGCCAUAGUUGGUUUCAUCGGGACUCUAUUGAUAUAAUUUCGAUAUUUCCAAUUUGUGAUAGUAGCAAGCAAGUAUCCUUAAACCCACAGGAGCAUAUUUGUAAACAAACAUUUAAAUCAAUACAAUCAGUGGAACUGACAAGUCAAAGGGUAAGUACAAUGAAAAAUGUGAUAGAUAUUGCAAAAUUUCUGUAAAAUCAUUGUCUUAAUUUGAAUUCCCUACAAGUGUUCAUGAAAGUGCCAGUUUUUCCAUCGAUUCAACUGUGGGUAUUAACAAACUUUAAUAUUCUGCAAACCUAAUAAGAAGUGGCAAUUGAUUGCUUUGAUUUGCAUUUCUUUAAUCUUUGUCAAUUUGUAAGCUGACUGAAUUUUACCACGAGCUGAUUGUUCCUUUUCCUAUUGGUUUACUUCCUAGUGAUAAGUACUUAGUAAAUUAAGGACACUGGCCCUAUGUUAAUAUUUUUCCUAGUUUUUCAUUUGUCUUUAAGACAACGCUUAGUGUUGUUCCUUUUUAAAGUAAUUGUUUAGGACCCCAUGCAUCUUAGGUUUUAUGACACACUUAGAAAGACCUUUCCCCAUUUAAAAAUUAUUAUUAUUUCAAGGACGCCUGGGUGGCUCAGUCAGUUAAGUGUCCGACUUUGGCUCAGGUCAUGAUCUCCCAUGAUUCAUCUCACAUCAGGAUCUGUGCUGACAGCUCAGAGCUUGGAGCUUGCUUCGGAUUCUGUGUCUCCCUCUCUCUCUGCCCCUCCCCUGCUUGUGCUCUGUCUGUCUCAAAAAUAA